AACGAACGCUGGCGGCAUGCCUAACACAUGCAAGUCGAACGAGACCUUCGGGUCUAGUGGCGCACGGGUGCGUAACGCGUGGGAACCUGCCCUUAGGUUCGGAAUAACUCCCCGAAAGGGGUGCUAAUACCGGAUAAUGUCUUCGGACCAAAGAUUUAUCGCCUUUGGAUGGGCCCGCGUUGGAUUAGCUAGUUGGUAGGGUAAAAGCCUACCAAGGCGACGAUCCAUAGCUGGUCUGAGAGGAUGAUCAGCCACACUGGGACUGAGACACGGCCCAGACUCCUGCGAGAGGAAGAAAUGGGGAAUGGAGAAAGAUGGGCGAAGGAUUGAGCCAGCAAUGCCGCGUGAGUAAUGAAGGCAUUAGGGUUGUAAAGCUCUUGUAACAGCGCUGAUAAUGACGGUGCCGGGAGAAUAAGCUACGGCUAACUCCGUG
rnacentral:rRNA from 1 species